rnacentral:rRNA from 1 species
UACGUAGGUGACAAGCGUUGUCCGGAUUUACUGGGCGUAAAGAGCGCGCAGGCGGUCGAUCAAGUCGAGUGUGAAAGCCCCCGGCUCAACUGGGGAGGGUCAUUCGAUACUGAUCGACUCGAAGGCAGGAGAGGGUAGUGGAAUUCCCGGUGUAGUGGUGAAAUGCGUAGAUAUCGGGAGGAACACCAGUGGCGAAGGCGGGUCUCUGGGCCGAUAUCGACGCUGAGGAGCGAAAGCGUGGGGAGCGAACAGG